rnacentral:lncRNA from 1 species
AUACACAAGAAACACACCCUAAAAGCACUUUUACAAAAAAAUAAAAAUAAAAAACAAUUAAAAAAAAUAAAACAAAAUAAUUACAACCAAGUCAAAAUCAAUUAAUCCACACUACUAGAAAAAUAAACCUCGAGUCCCCGGCAACAGCGCCAAAAACUUGUUGACGGAUUGGCAAGUGUACCAAAUCGUACAAGUAAUAUAAAUGGUAAGACCAAGUAUCGUGUUCCCAAGAGACUCGAGUGGCUUUCUCG